AUGAUCUUUAAGUUAGACUUCAAAAAAGCUUUCGAUUUAGUAGCAUGGCCUGCCCUCGACAAAAUCCUGGAAGUUCGUGAGCUCUCACUUCUCUUCCGCAGUUGGAUAGAGAAUCUUCUCCACACAGGCAAAACGGCAGUACUUUUGAACGGGAUCCCAGGCAAUUGGAUUCAAUGCAAAAAUGGGUUGAGGCAGGGAGACCCUGUCUCACCCUACCUCUUCCUCAUCGUAGCCGACCUUCUCCAACAACUCAUCGUCCAGAACUCUGACCCGUUCCUCCACCACCCCAUCUUCUCCCACCUACCCCCACUGUCCUCCAAUACGCCGAUGACACACUCAUCGUCGCAGCCGCCUCUCCCUCAGCCGCCUCAACCCUUAAAAUUCUCCUAA
rnacentral:rRNA from 1 species